rnacentral:rRNA from 1 species
CUGCUGCCUCCCGUAGGAGUUUGGGCCGUGUCUCAGUCCCAAUGUGGCCGGUCACCCUCUCAGGCCGGCUACCGAUCGUCGCCUUGGUGGGCUCUUAUCCCGCCAACUAGCUAAUCGGACGCGGGUCCAUCGUAUACCACCGGAGUUUUUCGCACCGGGCCAUGCGGCCUUUGUGCGCUUAUGCGGUUUUAGCACCUAUUUCUAAGUGUUAUCCCCCUGUAUACGGCAGGUUGCCCACGCGUUACUCACCCGUCCGCCACU